rnacentral:lncRNA from 1 species
CUUGGAAGGUCUCCUCCAAUGCCUGUGUUGCUUGGUGUUUGUCAUGCUUUUCGGCUUCUUUUGAUAUAUACUUCCUUGGUGUGGGAAUUUCUAUGGUUGGCCUCUCAUUUGGGUUUUCCUCUCUCCUGCCUCUUCGUUGUUUCAAUCGUUUCCCGGAUUGUGGUCUGGGAUUUUGCUGUGACCGGCUUUAUUGCUGCGGCUUGUUCCCAUUUUAUUUCUGUGUUGCUGUUGUAUGCUUCGACUGAUGGUGCAGUCAUUAAUUUGCCAGCAGCGGUGUCUUUUCUGUGCUCCUCUGGUCUCUGGUAGUUGCAUUUAACAG